rnacentral:rRNA from 1 species
UACAGAGGGUGCGAGCGUUAAUCGGAAUUACUGGGCUUAAAGCGUGUGUAGGCGGAUCGUUAAGUGCCUUGUGAAAUCCCACGGCUCAACCGUGGAACUGCUUGGCAUACUGGCGGUCUUGAGCAACCUAGGGGCGAGCGGAACAAAUGGUGGAGCGGUGAAAUGCGUAGAUAUCAUUUGGAACGCCAAUGGUGAAAACAGCUCGCUGGGGGUUUGCUGACGCUGAGACACGAAAGCCAGGGGAGCAAACGGG